rnacentral:misc_RNA from 1 species
GGCAAUGUCUCCAUAUAAUUCAUCAAGUUAACUACUCUUAAUAAGCAUCCAAACCAAUAAAUUAUUUCACUUCACAACUAUUAAUAAGGAUCAAGUGUUUGGCUAAUUCCCUACCAGUUUUGACCAAUAACUUAGAUUCUUCAGCUCCAAGUGGCUAUCAGAAUCUCUCCAAAAUUUGAUAAUAUGAAGGCUCUCUUCUUCAGUUGAUCUUUGAAGGAUAAUUCGAGAUGCAUAACCCUUCUUUCUCAUCUCAAGACAUAUUUCUGAGGGUUUAUUAGCAGUAAGCGUGACCAUAUAUAACCAGCCUUUCUCUGACAAAAGAUUGUUGGCAGCAGGCAGUAUUUUAUCAAUAACGCUUCGACCAUUCUCCCCUCCAGCCCAUGCCGAAGUGAUGCCUUCAAAACCAACUUCGUCUUCAGGUGUAGGAACAUAAGGAGGGUUCACAACCAGCACAUCAACUGAUCUUGCCA